GACGAACGCUGGCGGCGUGCUUAACACAUGCAAGUCGAACGAUGAUGCCCAGCUUGCUGGGUGGAUUAGUGGCGAACGGGUGAGUAAUACGUGAGUAACCUGCCCUUGACUCUGGGAUAAGCCUGGGAAACUGGGUCUAAUACUGGAUACUACCGUCCAUCGCAUGGUGGGUGGUGGAAAGGGUUUUACUGGUUUUGGAUGGGCUCACGGCCUAUCAGCUUGUUGGUGGGGUAAUGGCUCACCAAGGCGACGACGGGUAGCCGGCCUGAGAGGGUGACCGGCCACACUGGGACUGAGACACGGCCCAGACUCCUACGGGAGGCAGCAGUGGGGAAUAUUGCACAAUGGGCGGAAGCCUGAUGCAGCGACGCCGCGUGAGGGAUGACGGCCUUCGGGUUGUAAACCUCUUUCAGUAGGGAAGAAGCGAGAGUGACGGUACCUGCAGAAGAAGCGCCGGCUAACUACGUGCCAGCAGCCGCCGUAAAAC
rnacentral:rRNA from 1 species